UGUCGGUCCCCCCGCAACGAUACGUUGUGAAAUCCGUCAGGCCCGGAAGGGAGCAGCGGUAGCAGCGGAUUCGUGUGCCGGGGUGAGGCUGGCACGG
rnacentral:SRP_RNA from 1 species